rnacentral:rRNA from 1 species
GACGAACGCUGGCGGCGUGCUUAACACAUGCAAGUCGAACGGAAAGGCCCUGCUUUUGUGGGGUGCUCGAGUGGCGAACGGGUGAGUAACACGUGAGUAACCUGCCCUUGACUUUGGGAUAACUUCAGGAAACUGGGGCUAAUACCGGAUAGGAGCUCCUGCUGCAUGGUGGGGGUUGGAAAGUUUCGGCGGUUGGGGAUGGACUCGCGGCUUAUCAGCUUGUUGGUGGGGUAGUGGCUUACCAAGGCUUUGACGGGUAGCCGGCCUGAGAGGGUGACCGGACACAUUGGGACUGGGAUACGGCCCAGACUCCUACGGGAGGCAGCAGUGGGGAAUAUUGCACAAUGGGCGGAGGCCUGAUGCAGCAACGCCGCGUGCGGGAUGACGGCCUUCGGGUUGUAAACCGCUUUCGCCUGUGACGAAGCGUGAGUGACGGUAAUGGGUAAAGAAGCACCGGCUAACUACGUG